UACAGAGGGGGCAAGCGUUGUUCGGAAUUACUGGGCGUAAAGGGCGCGUAGGCGGCCUGUUAAGUCGAACGUGAAAUCCCCGGGCUCAACCCGGGAACUGCGUCCGAUACUGGCAGGCUUGAAUUCGGGAGAGGGAUGUGGAAUUCCAGGUGUAGCGGUGAAAUGCGUAGAUAUCGGGAGGAACACCGGUGGCGAAGGCGGCCUUCUGGACGGAUACUGACGCUGAGACGCGAAAGCGUGGGUAGCAAACAGG
rnacentral:rRNA from 1 species